AUUGAACGCUGGCGGCAUGCCUUACACAUGCAAGUCGAACGGCAGCGCGGACUUCGGUCUGGCGGCGAGUGGCGAACGGGUGAGUAAUACAUCGGAACGUACCCUGUUGUGGGGGAUAACUAGUCGAAAGAUUAGCUAAUACCGCAUACGACCUGAGGGUGAAAGUGGGGGAUCGCAAGGCCUCACGCAGCAGGAGCGGCCGAUGUCUGAUUAGCUAGUUGGUGGGGUAAAGGCCCACCAAGGCGACGAUCAGUAGCUGGUCUGAGAGGACGACCAGCCACACUGGGGCUGAGACACGGCCCAGGCUCCUACGGGAGGCCGCAGUGGGGAAUUUUGGCCACUGGGGGCAACCCUGAUCCAGCAAUGCCGCGUGUGUGAAGAAGGCCUUCGGGUUGUAAAGCACUUUUGUCCGGAAAGAAAUCGCGCUGGUUAAUACCUGGCGUGGAUGACGGUACCGGAAGAAUAAGCACCGGCUAACUCCGU
rnacentral:rRNA from 1 species